AACUCUGAGACAGGUGCUGCAUGGCUGUCGUCAGCUCGUGUUGUGAAAUGUUGGGUUAAGUCCCGCAACGAGCGCAACCCUUAUCCUUGUUUGCCAGCACUUCGGGUGGGAACUCCAGGGAGACUGCCGGUGAUAAACCGGAGGAAGGUGGGGACGACGUCAAGUCAUCAUGGCCCUUACGAGUAGGGCUACACACGUGCUACAA
rnacentral:rRNA from 2 species